rnacentral:rRNA from 1 species
CAUGCGUGACAUUAGCUAGUUGGCGGGGCAACGGCCCACCAAGGCGACGAUGUCUAGGGGUUCUGAGAGGAAGGUCCCCCACACUGGUACUGAGACACGGACCAGACUCCUACGGGAGGCAGCAGUGAGGAAUAUUGGUCAAUGGGCGCGAGCCUGAACCAGCCAAGUCGCGUGAGGGAUGACGGCCCUACGGGUUGUAAACCUCUUUUGUCGGGGAGCAAAUUCCGCCACGUGUGGCGGAGUCGAGAGUACCCGAAGAAAAAGCAUCGGCUAACUCCGUGCCAGCAGCCGCGGUAAUACGGAGGAUGCGAGCGUUAUCCGGAUUUAUUGGGUUUAAAGGGUGCGUAGGCGGACUGUCAAGUCAGCGGUAAAAUACGGGGGCUCAACCUCCGCCCGCCGUUGAAACUGACGGUCUUGAGUGGGCGAGAAGUAUGCGGAAUGCGUGGUGUAGCGGUGAAAUGCAUAGAUAUCACGCAGAACUCCGAUUGCGAAGGCAGCAUACCGGCGCCCAACUGACGCUGAAGCACGAAAGCGUGGGUAUCGAACAGGAUUAGAUACCCUGGUAGUCCACGCAGUAAACGAUGAAUACUAGCUGUCCGGGGCGAAUGAGCCCUGG